rnacentral:rRNA from 1 species
GUGGGGAAUUUUGGACAAUGGGCGCAAGCCUGAUCCAGCAAUGCCGCGUGCAGGAAGAAGGCCUUCGGGUUGUAAACUGCUUUUGUACGGAACGAAACGGUCCGGGUUAAUACCCUGGGCUAAUGACGGUACCGUAAGAAUAAGCACCGGCUAACUACGUGCCAGCAGCCGCGGUAAUACGUAGGGUGCAAGCGUUAAUCGGAAUUACUGGGCGUAAAGCGUGCGCAGGCGGUUUUGUAAGACAGGCGUGAAAUCCCCGGGCUCAACCUGGGAAUUGCGCUUGGGACUGCAAGGCUGGAGUGCGGCAGAGGGGGAUGGAAUUCCGCGUGUAGCAGUGAAAUGCGUAGAUAUGCGGAGGAACACCGAUGGCGAAGGCAAUCCCCUGGGCCUGCACUGACGCCCAUGCACGAAAGCGUGGGGAGCAAACAGGAUUAGAAACCCUAGUAGUCC